rnacentral:misc_RNA from 1 species
GAUUCCGUAGGUGAACCUGCGGAAGGAUCAUUAAUGAGUUGUCAUGGGGUUCGAUGCUGGCAGCCAGUUUUUGGAUGCAUGUGCUUGCCCUAACAAUCAUCUUCUUCCAAACACCUGUGCACAUUUUUGAGGGAGUCUUGAGUUGGUUGCCGCUCUUGGGUGAUUUUCUCACAUUCCCUUAAAUCAUUAUACGCUAUUAACAAUGUCGAACGUGCUCUGUGCCGCAAGGCCAUUAAUAUAAUACAACUUUUAACAACGGAUCUCUUGGCUCUC